rnacentral:rRNA from 1 species
UACGAAGGGGCUAGCGUUGCUCGGAAUCACUGGGCGUAAAGGGUGCGUAGGCGGGUCUUUAAGUCAGGGGUGAAUCCUGGAGCUCAACUCCAGAACUGCCUUGAUACUGAAGAUCUUGAGUUCGGGAGAGGUGAGUGGAACUGCGAGUGUAGAGGUGAAAUUCGUAGAUAUUCGCAAGAACACCAGUGGCGAAGGCGGACUCACUGGCCCGAUACUGACGCUGAGGCACGAAAGCGUGGG